rnacentral:rRNA from 1 species
AACGAACGCUGGCGGCAUGCCUAACACAUGCAAGUCGAACGAGAUCUUCGGAUCUAGUGGCGCACGGGUGCGUAACGCGUGGGAAUCUGCCCUUUGCUUCGGAAUAACAGUGAGAAAUUACUGCUAAUACCGGAUGAUGUCUUCGGACCAAAGAUUUAUCGGCAAAGGAUGAGCCCGCGUAGGAUUAGGUAGUUGGUGGGGUAAUGGCCUACCAAGCCGACGAUCCUUAGCUGGUCUGAGAGGUUGAUCAGCCACACUGGGACUGAGACACGGCCCAGACUCCUACGGGAAGCAGCAGUGGGGAAUAUUGGACAAUGGGGGAAACCCUGAUCCAGCAAUGCCGCGUGAGUGAUGAAGGCCUUAGGGUUGUAAAGCUCUUUUACCAGGGAUGAUAAUGACAGUACCUGGAGAAUAAGCUCCGGCUAACUCCGUG